CCUACGGGAGGCAGCAGUGGGGAAUAUUGCUCAAUGGGGGAAACCCUGAAGCAGCAACGCCGCGUGAGGGAUGAAGGUUUUCGGGUUGUAAACUCCUUUUUGUAGGGAAGAUAAUGACGGUAUCUGACGAAUCCGCCCCGGCUAACUCCGUGCCAGCAGCCGCGGUCAUACGGAGGGUGCAAGCGUUACUCGGAAUGACUGGGCGUAAAGAGCGCGUAGGCGGGAUAGCAAGUCAGGUGUGAAAUCCUAUGGCUUAACCAUAGAACUGCAUUUGAAACUGUUAUUCUAGAGUAUGGGAGAGGUAGGUGGAAUUCUUGGUGUAGGGGUAAAAUGCGUAGAGAUCAAGAGGAAGACUCAUUGCGAAGGCGACCUGCUAGAACAUAACUGACGCUGAGGCGCGAAAGCGUGGGGAGCAAACAGGAUUAGAUACCCGGGUAGUC
rnacentral:rRNA from 1 species